rnacentral:rRNA from 1 species
UACGUAGGGGGCUAGCGUUGUCCGGAAUCAUUGGGCGUAAAGAGCGUGUAGGCGGCUAUUUAAGUCCUGCGUGAAAUCCUGCGGCUCAACCGCAGACGGUCGUGGGAAACUGGAUGGCUAGAGUGCGGGAGAGGAGAGUGGAAUUCCCGGUGUAGCGGUGAAAUGCGCAGAUAUCAGGAAGAACACCCGUGGCGAAAGCGGCUCUCUGGAACGGUACUGACGCUGAGACGCGAAAGCGUGGGGAGCGAACAGG